AGGGUAAUAGCUCAGUGGUAGAGCGCAUGCUUAGCAUGCAUGAGGUCCUGAGUUCAACUCCAAGUACCUUUA
rnacentral:tRNA from 1 species